UACGGAGGGGCUAGCGUUGUUCGGAAUUACUGGGCGUAAAGCGCGCGUAGGCGGCUUUGUAAGUUAGAGGUGAAAGCCCGGAGCUCAACUCCGGAAUUGCCUUUAAGACUGCAUCGCUAGAAUCAUGGAGAGGUCAGUGGAAUUCCGAGUGUAGAGGUGAAAUUCGUAGAUAUUCGGAAGAACACCAGUGGCGAAGGCGACUGACUGGACAUGUAUUGACGCUGAGGUGCGAAAGCGUGGGAGCAACAGG
rnacentral:rRNA from 1 species